GAUGAACGCUGGCGGCGUGCCUAAUACAUGCAAGUCGAGCGAACAGACGAGGAGCUUGCUCCUCUGACGUUAGCGGCGGACGGGUGAGUAACACGUGGAUAACCUACCUAUAAGACUGGGAUAACUUCGGGAAACCGGAGCUAAUACCGGAUAAUAUAUUGAACCGCAUGGUUCAAUAGUGAAAGACGGUUUUGCUGUCACUUAUAGAUGGAUCCGCGCCGCAUUAGCUAGUUGGUAAGGUAACGGCUUACCCAGGCAACGAUGCGUAGCCGACCUGAGAGGGUGAGCGGCCACACGGGAACUGAGACACGGUCCAGACUCCUACGGGAGGCAGCAGUAGGAAAUCUUCCGAAAUGGGCGAAAGCUUGACGGAGCAACGCCGCGUGAGUGAUGAAGGUCUUCGGAUCGUAAAACUCUGUUAUUAGGGAAGAACAAAUGUGUAAGUAACUAUGCACGUCUUGACGGUACCUAAUCAGAAAGCCACGGCUAACUACGUG
rnacentral:rRNA from 1 species